AACGUAGGACGCAAGCGUUAUCCGGAUUUACUGGGCGUAAAGCGCGUGCAGGCGGUUCUGUCAGUCUGGUGUGAAAUCUCCUCGCUCAACGGGGAGCAGCCAUUGGAAACUACAGAACUGGAGUCUGACAGAGGUAGGCGGAAUUCCGGGUGGAGUGGUGAAAUGCGUAGAGAUCCGGAGGAACACCAGAGGCGAAGGCGGCCUACUGGGUCAGUACUGACGCUGAGCCGCGAAAGCCAGGGGAGCGAACGGG
rnacentral:rRNA from 1 species